GGAAGAAGAUGGGGUGCCCCCGCCCCAGGGAAUGGCCUUCAGCUGGACCCAUCCCCGCCUAGGCACUUCCCCAGAAAGGCCACUGGUCCAGCAGCUGAUUCCCAAGAAACCAAAUAUCUAACAGAGGGGACUGUGGGGACUUGAUGGCCUCUGACCUGGUCCCUCCUGCUCCCCUUUGGGCACUCUCUCAGGAAAGCUGAGAAGUUUGGGGCAGGGGUUACCAACUAAUCAGCCUCCCCUCCCCACUGAGGAGCUCCCUGUGUGGCGGUUGUGGGACAGGGAAGGAUGGGGCCACUGCUCAGGCCCCAGGGAGCCUCGGACCCAGCAUGGGGCUGGACUCGGUGGUCUGAAUGCCCUUUCUGCUCGGGCAGCCCAGGUCUCUGGUAGUGCCGAUAACCACCUGCUCUUGGCUCAGGAGACCCCUCCCUGGCAGCCCCCCAGCCCUUGAGGGCAGCUGGGGGGCCUGAAGAAGGCCUCCGUACCUGUAGAUGGCAGAGCUGGGGUAGCUGCCCGGGUCACAGCUGACACGCACAUGGCCCUGGUAGAGCUCCACCGCGAUGUGGUCGCUGUCCCCAUUGUACAGCAGGAUCCCAUUGUCCUCUGCUGUGGAGACCUAUGGCAACGGCACUUUCUCUCCCACCCCACCCCACGCAGCAGCAGCACAGGCUGGCGGGCGGGGCAGACGGAGGACCCACAAUUAAAAGAGAAAUGUGUGCAGAACAGUCCUCCCCUGCCUCCCCAAGGGAAACAUCCUCCAGGGGGCGCUGUCCCAGGCUGGCAGCCCCACCCCACCCCACCCCCACCCCCCUCCCCCUCAAAUUCCAUCCACAGCCGGUCUGGCCAGGGCCAGGCAGGGGAGGGCAGAUGGGCCAGCUGAGGCCUGGAAACUCCGUGCCAGGAGGUAAGACAGCUUGGGACCACCUGCCCAGAGAGGAUGGUUAGACAGGAUGUGGGGUAUCCUGUUCUGUGGGCCUCAGGGAGCUGCCUUGGGGCCAGGACGGGACCUACAGAGGACAGAUUCAGGAAGACUCUCCAACAGCCAGAGCCACCCAAACCUGGAAGGUAGCACCUGUCACUGGAGCCACGCGAGCAAAAGCUGGAGCUGUGCCUUGGGAGGGAGAUGCCUCUAUGCUGCUGUAGGAGCCAUGAUCUUUGUUUCCUGCCUUGUUCCUCUCCUGGUAAAGACCCUGACCCCCUGGUCUGUAGAGCUGGGACACGGCCCAGUCUGGACCACGGCACCCCAUCUCCCUGGACUUGGUAGUUGGUCCAGGGAUGGGCAUGUGACCUGAGGCAGGCCAAUCGGAGAUCUCCGAUCCGAGCUUGUUGACUGUUGUCCAACUAGAGCUAUUGGGGAAGAGCCUGCAGUGGGGAUAGUGGAAUAAACUGAGUCUCUCCAAGGAUGUGCCUGAGGCAAUGGCUGGGCAGGGUUUUGGUGAGUUUUAUUCUGUUGAGCAGUUAGGCUAGCUGUGGUCUUGCUGUGUGGACAGUGUAGUGGAUAGAAUUUAUGAGAGGUGAUCAAGGGAAGGAGAGCAGAGUGGGCAUGUUUGAGAGGCUGAAAGGUUCUGAGAGAAAAGAAGGAGAAGAGGACAAAUAAAGGAAAGAAGAAAGAUGUGGCAGUUGGGAUAAGGAAUGGAAUUUGGGGAACAGGGAUGACUAAAGAGGAGUUUAAUUUCUUUUCCUGUGAAGUGCAAUGCAAUCCGCUGUCCCUCCCCAAGAAACAUUUAGCAAACAAUGCUGCUGAAGUAGAACUUGCUUCUUUUUCCCUCAACAUAACAAUGUUCUCAGAUGGAAUUCAAGACAUAAAUGGAAAAUAAGGGCUCCCAGCGCUAGCUGUGGCCGUGUUCCAGCUACAUAGAGAAAGCCAGUCUGCAGCAUUGGAGGCUGAAGCUGGGGGGAGUCUUUGAGACAAGGGAUGGUGGGAGAGGAUCCUGGUAAAUUUGGUUUUCCGGAUCCAGUCACCCAUGAGACCACCUCCACCCCUGCCCUUCCCUGAGACUGGUUUUGUGACCCAAUAACCUUUCCGACUGUGCUUAAACUAGCUCAAGCUGAGAUCCUGAUACCCACAUCCAAAGAGUUUUGAUUAACACAGGGUGCUCCCAGCUGUCCCGAUACUCUGACCUGAGGCCAGGGUCCCCUGCUGCCGGACCACCCUCUGUGACACACACCCUGGGCACGCACCUGCAGUGUGAUGUUGGCCCGUGGCCAGUUCUGCAGGUCGGUGAACUGUAGUACCUCAUCUCCUCCAGGAAGCCUCCGGUGAACACCCCUUGCAGGAAACCCUUCCAGACUACAAACUGCCAACUCCACGGCUCAACCACACAACCUGGCAGGAGGAAGUUACUGGUGCACCCAGUUUGCAGAUGAGAAAACUGAGGCUCAGAGUGGUCAAGCCACCCAUUCUGGGUCAUGAUGUAAACCCAGGUCUGUCCGACUAAAACUACCACCACCCUGCCCCUGACACUGACUGGCAGGAACUGAACAGCCAAGACCAAACCCACCUGACAGGUGAGGAAACAGGCUGGGGAGGGCAGAGGAAAGGUGACGUGGGGGCCCAUGCCCUUCCCUGGCCUUAGAAAUGGGCAACACUGACCUGGGCC